AUAUACCCCACUAUCCGCCCGGGNNCUACGAGCAUNNGCUUAAAACCCAAAGGACUUGGCGGUGCUUUAGACCCACCUAGAGGAGCCUGUCCUAGAACCGAUAACCCCCGUUUNAACCUCACCCCCCCUUGUUUUCCCCGCCUAUAUACCACCGUCGUNAGCUUACCCUGUGAAGGCCUUAUAGUAAGGCAAAAUUGAUAAAACCCAAACCGUCAGGUCUGGUGUANNCGUAUGGGCGAGAANGAUNAUGAGCUACAGUUCUCCACCAUAGAGAUNAAACGAAAUGUAUUAGUACU
rnacentral:rRNA from 1 species